rnacentral:tRNA from 1 species
AGUCGAGUCAGCUAAAUAAAGCUCUUGGGCCCAUACCCCAAAUAUGCAGGUUAAAAUCCCGCCUCUACUA